AGAUUGAACGCUGGCGGCAUGCCUAACACAUGCAAGUCGAACGGGAGUAGCAAUACUCUAGUGGCGGACGGGUGAGGAAUACGUAGGAAUUUGCCCUUAAGUGGGGGAUAACCUGGGGAAACCCGGAUUAAUACCGCAUGACCUCGAAAGAGCAAAGUGGGGAUCGCAAGACCUCACGCUUUUGGAGAAGCCUACGUCGGAUUAGCUAGUUGGUGAGGUAAUGGCUCACCGAAGGCGACGAUCCGUAACGUGGUCUGAGAGGAUGAUCAGUCACACCGGACUGAGACACGGUCCGACUCCGUACGGGAGCAGCAGGUGGGAAUAGUACGGACAAGUGGGACG
rnacentral:rRNA from 1 species